AAAAUCUUUUGUGUUUUCACUCCAUUAAUUCUGGCGGUCUUGCUUCUUUUUCGUUGAUGGCAGAUCUGAGCUGCUGCAGUUCAGACUUGAGAGAGCAGCAGCUUUGUCUUUUUCUUUAUCUUGGAUUUUGUUUUCUUGAAACUUUUUGACUUGGCUUGUCACUUCACGUGUUUGUUUAUUUUUUUAAAGCUUUGUCUUUUUAACCUAAACCCCUUCUCUUCCUACGCAUCCGCCAUCUUCACUACCGCCGAUAAGAGGUGGCUCAUUUUCCUCAAGUAAGAAUCUCUCAGACCCAAGCUUGUGUCAUCGUUGAUCCCAAGCAAUCUUCCUCUGCAACUUUUUUCUUUUUUCUUAAGUGCUUUUUCAGCACCCUGUUUCGCCGAUCUAUUCACUUAAGCUUGCGCCUGGGCUCUUUUAAUGAUUUUUUUUUUUUUUUCUUUUGGAUUGGCUAUGGCUGGAGUUGAAUCAGAUCUGUUGAAGAAAUCUGUUCUUUUUAACUUAUUAUCUGACCGUUAAAAAAACAAAUCUUUUUUCUCAAUCUCUCAUCUACUCCGUCUCCUCUUUCUCUCCUGUCAUCUCUAUCUCUCUCAAAGACUCAGUCUCUCUCGUCUCCGUCUGCUCUCUCAAUCUCUCUCUCAUCGUCUGUUUCUGUCUCCCUCUCUACUCUUCGUCAUCUCAGCAGAACCAUGCCGACUUGCCGGAUUGAUUCUCGGUGGUGGUUGUGAUUGGCCAAAGCAUGGAUCUGCUGUUCUUCGUUUGUCCAGCCCGAAGAAAGAAAAUGGAAAUUUCAAGGAACCUUCGAGAAUGACGAAUAUUCCCCACCACGGCUUAAAUCAUAUUCUGGUACAUAAGCUGUGGUGGAGGAAUAUCCGUCAUACUCGCCGGAAUCCCACUCCACAUUGUGUGCUUUGCUCCCAACCGUGGAAUUAACCGAAGAUCUGAGUAGCUUGUUUGGAUGCAGGGCUUUUUCCAAGUCUUUUUGUUUUACAUCUUUUGAUUUUAAGGAUAUUGUUGAUUGUUCUGUGAUGAUAAUAAUGGCCUAUAUCCCGAACUGGCAUAUUGCACACGUACGACGAUGCGGUAAUGAUGCAGCUCAUCUUUUAGCCAAAGAGGCUAUGAAGCGGGUAAUAGAUAAGGUUUAGAUUGAUGAAAUCCCAAAUUGUAUCUCCAUAUUAUUUUGGAAGAGCAAAUUGCACUUUCUCAUUGAGUAUUAAUGAAUUGCACUUUCUCAUUGAUUAUUAAUGAAA